AAAAGAAGGAAGCAUGGUAAUGUGCACAGAAAUUGAAUCGUUGGGUGAACAUGUCUGCUCCCUCUGAUGUGUCUUUGAUGAGGGGGCCUGGUUUCGACCCACAUUU